ACAGAGAUAGCUUGCUAUCUGCUGACGAGCGGCGGACGGGUGAGUAAUGCUUGGGAAUAUGCCUUAUGGUGGGGGACAACAGUUGGAAACGACUGCUAAUACCGCAUAACGUCUACGGACCAAAGGGGGGGAUGCUUCGGCACCUCCCGCCAUUUGAUUAGCCCAAGUGAGAUUAGCUAGUAGGUGAGGUAAUAGCUCACCUAGGCGACGAUCUCUAGCUGGUUUGAGAGGAUGAUCAGCCACACUGGGACUGAGACACGGCCCAGACUCCUACGGGAGGCAGCAGUGGGGAAUAUUGCACAAUGGGCGAAAGCCUGAUGCAGCCAUGCCGCGUGUGUGAAGAAGGCCUUCGGGUUGUAAAGCACUUUCAGCGAGGAGGAAAGGUUAGUGGUUAAUAGCCACUAGCUGUGACGUUACUCGCAGAAGAAGCACCGGCUAACUUCGUGCCAGCAGCCGCGGUAAUACGAGGGGUGCAAGCGUUAAUCGGAAUUACUGGGCGUAAAGCGUGCGUAGGUGGUUUGUUAAGCAAGAUGUGAAAGCCCUGGGCUCAACCUGGGAACUGCAUUUUGAACUGGCAAGCUAGAGUUUUGUAGAGGGUAGUGGAAUUUCCAGUGUAGCGGUGAAAUGCGUAGAGAUUGGAAGGAACAUCAGUGGCGAAGGCGGCUACCUGGACAAAGACUGACACUGAGGCACGAAAGCGUGGGGAGCAAACAG
rnacentral:rRNA from 1 species